GUCGGCGUAAUGCAGAGGUUAGCAUAUCACAUUCCGGUUUUUCUCGCGCAAGGUGAAAACUCGGGUUCGAAUCCCGACGUCGAUU
rnacentral:tRNA from 2 species